rnacentral:rRNA from 1 species
UACGAAGGGUGCAAGCGUUAAUCGGAAUUACUGGGCGUAAAGGGCGCGUAGGCGGCCUGCUAAGUCGAACGUGAAAUCCCUGGGCUCAACCCAGGAACUGCGUCCGAUACUGGUUGGCUUGAAUCCGGGAGAGGGAUGUGGAAUUCCAGGUGUAGCGGUGAAAUGCGUAGAUAUCUGGAGGAACACCGGUGGCGAAGGCGACAUCCUGGACCGGUAUUGACGCUGAGGCGCGAAAGCCAGGGGAGCAAACGGG